rnacentral:misc_RNA from 1 species
UUGAUUUUAGUUAUUUGUGAACGUACUACGAACAACAAAAAAAUAUUAUAGUCAAAAAAAAAUUAAAUCA